rnacentral:rRNA from 1 species
AUGUCGGUCGAUGGUGUGAAAACACUUCCUGAUGUCGAAUUCCAAAAACCAGCGAGAGGUUCCCCACUCUUCUUUGAUCCGUCUGAGGGCCGAGUGGCAGCCUCGACCCGAGCGGAAGUGCGAUGUGUCUGGAAA